rnacentral:rRNA from 1 species
UACGGAGGGUGCGAGCGUUGUCCGGAAUCAUUGGGCGUAAAGGGCGCGUAGGUGGCCCGGUCAGUUCGUGGUGAAAGCGCGGGGCUCAACCCUGCGUCGGCCAUGAAUACUGCCGCGGCUGGAGCACUGUAGAGGCAGGCGGAAUUCCGGGUGUAGCGGUGGAAUGCGUAGAGAUCCGGAAGAACACCGGUGGCGAAAGCGCUCUACUGGACCGCAACUGACACUCAGGGACGAAAGCUAGGGGAGCGAAUGGG